AUUGAACGCUGGCGGCAGGCCUAACACAUGCAAGUCGAGCGAGCGGCGGACGGGUGAGUAAUGUCUGGGAAACUGCCUGAUGGAGGGGGAUAACUACUGGAAACGGUAGCUAAUACCGCAUACCAUCAGAUGUGCCCAGAUGGGAUUAGCUAGUAGGUGGGGUAACGGCUCACCUAGGCGACGAUCCCUAGCUGGUCUGAGAGGAUGACCAGCCACACUGGAACUGAGUCACGGUCCAGACGCCUCCGGGAGGAAGCAGUGGGGCAUAUUGCAAAAUGGGCGCAAGCCUGAUGCAGCCAAGCCGCGUGAGUGAAGAAGGCCUUCGGGUUGUAAAGCACUUUCAGCGGGGAGGCGUUACCCGCAGAGGAAGCACCGGCUAACUCCGUGCCAGCCGCCGCGGUAAUAC
rnacentral:rRNA from 1 species